GGCGGACCGAAUUAAGAGUAGGGAAGUGUGUGAGCCAUGCGUCAAGAAAAGCCGCUAUUGUUUUACUUAAGCCCGUACCGUAAACCGACACAGGUGGAUGAGGAGAGAAUCCUAAGGCCGACGGGAGAAGCAUUGUUAAGGAACUCGGCAAAAUGACUCCGUAACUUCGGGAGAAGGAGUGCCAGCGAGAGCUGGCCGCAGAGAAUUGGCCCAAGCAACUGUUUAGCAAAAACACAGGUCUAUGCAAAACCGUAAGGUGAAGUAUAUGGGCUGACGCCUGCCCGGUGCUGGAAGGUUAAGAGGAGAGGUUAGCGGUAACGCGAAGCUUUGAAUUUAAGCCCCAGUAAACGGCGGCCGUAACAAUAACGGUCCUAAGGUAGCGAAAUUCCUUGUCGGGUAAGUUCCGACCCGCACGAAAGGCGUAAUGAUUUGGGCACUGUCUCAACAAUGCACCCGGUGAAAUUGAAAUACCAGUGAAGAUGCUGGUUACCUGCGCCAGGACGGAAAGACCCCAUGGAGCUUUACUCCAGCUUGAUACUGGGAUUCGGUAUUGCAUGUACAGGAUAGGUGGGAGGCUAGGAAGUGAUAACGCCAGUUGUCACGGAGCCGCUGUUGGGAUACCACCCUUGCAGUAUUGGAUUUCUAACCAGCGACCAUGAACUGGUCGGGGGACAAUGUCAGGUGGGGAGUUUGACUGGGGCGGUCGCCUCCGAAAGGGUAUCGGAGGCGCUCAAAGGUUCCCUCAGACGGACGGAAACCAUUCGAAGGGUGCAAAGGCAGAAGGGAGCUUGACUGCGACACCGACGGGUGGAGCAGGUACGAAAGUAGGACUUAGUGAUCCGGUGGUAUAGAGUGGGAUUGCCAUCGCUCAACGGAUAAAAGCUACCCUGGGAUAACAGGCUUAUCACUCCCAAGAGUUCACAUCGACGGAGUGGUUUGGCACCUCGAUGUCGGCCCAUCGCAUCCUGGGGCUGAAGUAGGUCCCAAGGGUUGGGCUGUUCGCCCAUUAAAGCGGUACGCGAGCUGGGUUCAGAACGUCGUGAGACAGUUCGGUCCCUAUCCGGCGUGGGCGUAGGAUAUUUGAGAGGAGCUGUCCUUAGUACGAGAGGACCGGGAUGGACUGGCCGCUGGUGUAUCUGUUGCAUACCAAAUGCAUGGCAGAGUAGCCAAGCCGGGACGGGAUAAACGCUGAAGGCAUCUAAGCGUGAAGCCCCCCUCAAGAUGAGAUAUCCCUACGUAAGUAGUAAGACCCCUUGAAGACGACGAGGUAGAUAGGUCAGAGGUGGAAGUACAGUAAUGUAAGGAGCUGACUGAUACUAAUCGGUCGAGGGCAUGACC
rnacentral:rRNA from 1 species